GAGGGGAGGCCCUACCAGCAAGAACUGCUAAUUCCUGUGUCUGAGCAUAAAACCUCAGUCCCCUUG